UUCUCCCAUCAAACUCAAGUAAAUAGCUUGUAAAUGGAGCAUGUAAUUAAAGCUUUAUAGCAAUUUUUUGUUGUUGUUGUUGUAACUCUUGUCUCAAUAGAACGAAAUGCUCGUGUUAAUGGUAUUUUUUAAUUAAAAAAGCGAGAUAAAAGUGAAAUGUAAAAGUAUAAAUAGUAUUAUUUUGAUAAACUCAUCUUAAACUUUAGGUUUUAUGUUUCUAAUUUAACAUUUUACAAAGUUAAUUCUUAUUUAUUAAUUUAUUAAUUUAUGCAAACUCUUUUUUUUUAUAAUACUUAUAAAACAAAAGAACUUAUUAUUUACUUUCUAAUACACAAUAUUACUUAAUUAGUUAACGUACAUAUAUAAAUUACGAGUUAACCGUACUUAGUUGCGUUUUCGCUUUUUUGGUUUACGUACAUAAAAUACGACUCACCUGAAGCAUUUAUCUGUCAAACUGGAUGAGUUAAGUUUCUCAAGUUGGCAGGCAAAGACUUAGACGAGAAUUGAGUUCAGUAAUAUUUUUCAAUAAUCUUAUUUUAAGACACAACAUAUCGAAUGAAGGACAAUAUGUGCAGUUGCUGCUUUUCACUCUUGACAAGUUGUUUAUGAUUAAUAUAAAAUUAUUUUAUAAGGUGUUAUAACAACUGUUGUUCUAGUAAGGCUGUUUUACACGUAAAUAAUUUAAUAAUCCCACAUCAUGUUAGCAAGUUGUUUCAGGCAUAAAUAAAAACAAAAUGGAGCGAGAAGACCAGCCUUUUAAAAUAUUUACAGAUAUCAUUCCAAACAGUGCUGGUAUUAACUUCUGUACUGGAAUUAACAUAUUUGCAAGCAGAAAAAAUAAUAUCAAGUCUGAAAAAACCUGCAAUUGUCUACUAUUGUCCAGAACAAUGUAGUUAGCAUGAUGACAUCAUUACAACAACAAUUCAAAUCUAAAUAUAAAAUAGAACAAGAUAAAUUUUUGGAACAGUUAAACUGUAAGAAGUGGAAAACGCUCAUGUUUGUCUAAGCGCCCGUUCAACAAAAUUACUUAAAUAAAACUUUUUGAUCUAAACUAUUUUAUGUGUUGUUUGUGCAAGUGUUAAGUCAAACACUGAACUAUCGACAAGCAAAAAAGUAAUAUUGACUCCUCACCAUCUUCAUUUAAAACAACCUAGUUUUAAUUAUGCCUAGCAAAGUAUUUGGUUCAUUAACGGGAGUUUUUACUUGAACUGUUAAUAGAUGAUUCGUUUACAUUGAUAAUUGAAUGUUCAGACGAAAUAGACGGCUAAUUCAAAAUAAAAAACUGAUAAGUUUUUGCAAGAAAAUACAAAUGAAAACAGAAAUAUAAUAUGAACUACAAAAAGUUGAGCGGAUCGUUGCAAUGGCAUUAUAAAAAAGAUAUCAUUCAAAAGAAAAAUUUUCACAUGGUAUAAAUAUAUAAAAAUUGAUAAAAAAUAUUCUAAAAAUUUCAAAGAAAAAAAUCAAUUUUUAUAAAGAAAACAAAAUUUUGAAGUUGACGAAUCGUUGAAGUUUGAUGCUGACCGUUAAAUGAUGAUAUAAGCUGGAAUGAGGAUGAUGAAGCAGGCUGAGAAGGUGCCUAUUUAAUCUCAUUGGCUUCCACCUAUCGAUGACUUGUAUUAAAACUGAUUAUGUCUCUCAGAUAAAGCAUGGAAUGGCUUCAAGUGUAUUCUGGUUUUACUUUGUUCUUUAAAUGUUGAUAGAAGUUUACUUAAUACUUCUAAUGGAAGAUUAAAUUUUUUUUCCUCAACUCAUCAUGGCUGCUAGUUAAAUGAUCUACAAUGGGCUCCUGUCCAAAACUUCAUAAACUUAUGCAUAAUAUUUCAACUGAUUUUUUAACUUCAUUAAUGAUCCUUUUUUUUAAACUUUAUUUUUGUUUUGAAAUGAAUUGAACUAUAAACGUUUAUCAAACUCUAUCAAAACCUUUUUUUCUGUUUUUAUACAACUACCUUAUAAACUUGUCUCUAAAUUUUCUCUAAGUUAUUCUAUUAACUUCUUUAUUUAUCUAUUAUCUCUUGUUUUUAAGUUAUCCUAUUAACUUAUCUUUAGUUUUUAGAUUUAAUUAUUUUGAUUUUAUUUUUAUUUCUUUUGAUUAUAGAUCUAACUAAUCUUAAAUUACUUGUAAAUUUUUGUAAUCAUAAAUUACUUCUAUCUAAUUUUUAAUUGGUACAAAGUAAUUGUAUGUUUACUUUUUGAUAGUUGUUCACGAUUACUGAUGAAAUGGGGCGUAGCAAUAAGGCAAAUAUUGUCUUCUUUUAGGCCCGGUCAUGUAGAUUUUAUUUAUAUAAUACGGCACUGUAUUCUUUUUUAAUGAUGAAAUA